AGCUCCAAUAGCGUAUAUUAAAGCUGUUACGGUUAAAAAGCUCGUAGUUGGAUUUCUGUCAAGGACAACUGGUCCGCCCUCCGGGUGAGCACAUAGUUUGGUCUUGGCAUCUUGCUGGAAACUGUUGCUGCGCUUGGUUGUGUGGUGCAGCUUUCAGCACUUUCACUCUGAGGAAAUUGGAGUGUUUCAAGCAGGCACAUGCCUUUGGACACAGUAGCAUGGAAUAAUAGGAUAGGACUUUGGUACUAUUUUGUUGGUUUGCAUACCAAGGUAAUGAUUAAGAGGGACAGUUGGGGGUAUUCGUAUUUAAUUGUCAGAGGUGAAAUUCUUGGAUUUAUGAAAGACGAACUACUGCGAAAGCAUUUACCAAGGAUGUUU
rnacentral:rRNA from 1 species